rnacentral:piRNA from 1 species
UACAGUAGACAGUCUGAUUUUGAUGCCC